rnacentral:tRNA from 1 species
UUUUUGAGAGCUAAUUGUAGCAAUAAACUUUUAAUUUAUUAAUAUAGAUUUAUCUAUUCUUGCGU